rnacentral:misc_RNA from 1 species
ACUUUAUAACAAACCAUAUACAACCAACAAAAAUAAAAUGAGCCUGACAACACCAAACAUUAUGGCAGGCAUACAGAAAGUGCAACAUUCUUCAGAUAAGAAACAGAGGUAUCACAAACAUAUACUGGUUUAAACGGCACGACAGUAACUGCAGUCAAUUCAAGCUUAAAAACAUAUAGUUUUACAACAGCAAAAACUAGAGAGGUAAUACGAAGUCCAAAACAAACGGCAAAGAGACUGGUGUCCGAAGAGAAUCCACUACGCCGUUGGAUACUGCUCUGAGAUUGGGAAUCUAUAGUUUCACAAUCAACCCUUGCUGGCAAUGUUGCUGGAGAGCCAAUCAAGCCCUUCGUACAAGCCUUCACCAGAAGUAGCACACGCGCUCUGGAUGUACCAGUGCCUCUGACGAAGGGAAUGCAGACCAAGCUUAUCGGUAAUUUCAG